UUCAAUUGAGGUAAAAACACAAAACAAAAUAAACACACAAGAGGCUAGAGGUCGUCCCCACCUAAGAAAGAUAAAUAAAUAGAAGAAAAUAUUAAAGUUCUAUUCUACGCUACUUCUUCUACGAUGUUCGCCAUGGCCUCCAAAAUAUUUACAUAGUUCUUCGGGGCAUACCCCGGAUAAUAAUAUAUACAAAAUAUUUACAUGUAAUAUUUACAUAGUUUGGGCGCGGCAGAUGGUGUGAAAGGGUGGGGGCGCCAUUUUGGGUGUGUUCUUUAGGGUUAGGGUUUGGUUAAGAUGAGCUUUUUAUGGAGCUAUGAUUUAAUUAGGGCCAUUGGAUAAGUUGGAGUGAAAGGCAAGUAUUCAAAGGGAUUUGGGGCGGGUCGGUCUGGUAAGGAAACGGGUCGGCAGGUUUGAAGGGAUUAUGGGUCAAGAGUUAAGGGAUGGGUUGCUAAAUUUUGGGCCUUUAUUUGUUAAAUUGGGCCAAGAGAAAGCUGAAAAGCCAAUUUAAAUAUCUUUAAAAAAAAUGUAAAACUUCUAAUUGAUGUUGAUAAACUAUUAAUAUUAAAAUAAAAACUAAAAAUGAAAGUUGAAACUAUUUUUUUUGUAUUUUCAAGGAUUAUAUUAGAAUUAAAAUAGGUUAAAAGUAACAUAUCUUUCUAAAAAAAAAUACCUAAUACUGAAUUAAAUAGAAAAGUUAAACUAUUUUUUUUGUAUUUUUUCAAUUUUUGUGCCAAAAAAAUAGAAUUAAAAUUAGUAAUAAAGUAAAAUCAUAUAGAAAUAAACUCAAAUAAAUAUUCUAAAAAUACUAGGACUAUUAAAGGUGAUUCUAAUAAGCGAGUCAAAAAUUACAUGUCUACAGCUGCCCCUCUUUGAUGGGAAACACGAAGUGUUUUCAGACAAAGAACAACAAAACAUGUUUUUGACCCGACCCUUAUUUAGAGAGACAAAAACUAAAAGAGAAGGGAUGUGACCGAGCCCUGGUAUCUGAGCUGCCUACAUAUCCUUGGCUAUAAAGAAAUCAGGCCACAUGUAGUUCGGAGUGAGAAGAGCGACGGAGUAUACCGAGAUGGAGAGCCGAGUGAAGUGUCGUCGAGGUUCCGGUCCGCGGUUCCUUCCAUUACAUCAAAAAUAAAAGGAAAAUUACAGCAAAGUAAAAAAAAUACAAGAUCCUAUCUACUUCUUGUCUUGAAUCUUCCUUGAAUCUCUACUUGAUCUUCAACAUAAGACUGAAAAAUGGACCAUGUUCUUCAGGCGGGCUCGUGAUGCUUCUUAAAUUUGCGAAUUGAAGUGACUCUAAAAAUGAAUUCCCUCGUUCUCCAAGUGGGUGCCUGAUUUCCAAAACUUGAAUUGUAUUCCCUCGUUAUCCAGGUGGGCGCCUGGUUGCUAAAACCUGAAACUGCAUUCCCUCAUUAUCCAGGUGGGCGCCUGGUUGCUAAAACUUGAAACUGCAUUCCCUCAUUAUCCAGGUGGGCGCCUGGUUGCUAAAACUUGAAACUGCAUUCCCUCGUUAUCCAGGUGGGCGUCUGGUUGCUAAAACUUGAAACUGCAUUCCCUCGUUAUCCAGGUGGGCGCCUGGUUGCUAAAACUUGAAAACUGUAUUCCCUCGUUAUCCAGGUGGGGCGCCUGAUUGCUAAAA
rnacentral:lncRNA from 1 species